rnacentral:rRNA from 1 species
CUAAGGCGAGGCCGAAAGGCGUAGUCGAUGGGAAACAGGUUAAUAUUCCUGUACUUGGUGUUACUGCGAAGGGGGGACGGAGAAGGCUAUGUUGGCCGGGCGACGGUUGUCCCGGUUUAAGCGUGUAGGCUGGUUUUCCAGGCAAAUCCGGAAAAUCAAGGCUGAGGCGUGAUGACGAGGCACUACGGUGCUGAAGCAACAAAUGCCCUGCUUCCAGGAAAAGCCUCUAAGCAUCAGGUAACAUCAAAUCGUACCCCAAACCGACACAGGUGGUCAGGUAGAGAAUACCAAGGCGCUUGAGAGAACUCGGGUGAAGGAACUAGGCAAAAUGGUGCCGUAACUUCGGGAGAAGGCACGCUGAUAUGUAGGUGAAGUCCCUUGCGGAUGGAGCUGAAAUCAGUCGAAGAUACCAGCUGGCUGCAACUGUUUAUUAAAAACACAGCACUGUGCAAACACGAAAGUGGACGUAUACGGUGUGACGCCUGCCCGGUGCCGGAAGGUUAAUUGAUGGGGUCAGCGCAAGCGAAGCUCUUGAUCGAAGCCCCGGUAAACGGCGGCCGUAACUAUAACGGUCCUAAGGUAGCGAAAUUCCUUGUCGGGUAAGUUCCGACCUGCACGAAUGGCGUAAUGAUGGCCAGGCUGUCUCCACCCGAGACUCAGUGAAAUUGAACUCGCUGUGAAGAUGCAGUGUACCCGCGGCAAGACGGAAAGACCCCGUGAACCUUUACUAUAGCUUGACACUGAACAUUGAGCCUUGAUGUGUAGGAUAGGUGGGAGGCUUUGAAGUGUGGACGCCAGUCUGCAUGGAGCCGGCCUUGAAAUACCACCCUUUAAUGUUUGAUGUUCUAACGUGGACCCGUGAUCCGGGUUGCGGACAGUGUCUGGUGGGUAGUUUGACUGGGGCGGUCUCCUCCUAAAGAGUAACGGAGGAGCACGAAGGUUGGCUAAUCCUGGUCGGACAUCAGGAGGUUAGUGCAAUGGCAUAAGCCAGCUUGACUGCGAGCGUGACGGCGCGAGCAGGUGCGAAAGCAGGUCAUAGUGAUCCGGUGGUUCUGAAUGGAAGGGCCAUCGCUCAACGGAUAAAAGGUACUCCGGGGAUAACAGGCUGAUACCGCCCAAGAGUUCAUAUCGACGGCGGUGUUUGGCACCUCGAUGUCGGCUCAUCACAUCCUGGGGCUGAAGUAGGUCCCAAGGGUAUGGCUGUUCGCCAUUUAAAGUGGUACGCGAGCUGGGUUUAGAACGUCGUGAGACAGUUCGGUCCCUAUCUGCCGUGGGCGCUGGAGAACUGAGGGGGGCUGCUCCUAGUACGAGAGGACCGGAGUGGACGCAUCACUGGUGUUCGGGUUGUCAUGCCAAUGGCACUGCCCGGUAGCUAAAUGCGGAAGAGAUAAGUGCUGAAAGCAUCUAAGCACGAAACUUGCCCCGAGAUGAGUUCUCCCUGACCCUUUAAGGGUCCUGAAGGAACGUUGAAGACGACGACGUUGAUAGGCCGGGUGUGUAAGCGCAGCGAUGCGUUGAGCUAACCGGUACUAAUGAACCGUGAGG